GGUGGUUCUCAGGUGAUGCACCCCGGGACCAGAGAGGAGGGAGCCUGAUUCCGGGGUGCGACACCCGAGAACCGCU
rfam:Myotis davidii contig153442, whole genome shotgun sequence.